rnacentral:rRNA from 1 species
UACGGAGGGGGCUAGCGUUGUUCGGAAUUACUGGGCGUAAAGCGCACGUAGGCGGCUUUGUAAGUUAGAGGUGAAAGCCCAGGGCUCAACCCUGGAAUUGCCUUUAAGACUGCAUCGCUUGAAUCAUGGAGAGGUGAGUGGAAUUCCGAGUGUAGAGGUGAAAUUCGUAGAUAUUCGGAGGAACACCAGUGGCGAAGGCGGCUCACUGGUCCGGUACUGACGCUGAGGUGCGAAAGCGUGGGGAGCAAACAGG